UACGGCCGUAUCACGUUGUUACACCGGUUUCCGUACGAUCACUGAAGUUAAGCAUCGUUGAGCCCUGUCAGUACCUAGAUGGGUGACGGAUUGGGAAUGCCAGGUGUUGUAAG